rnacentral:rRNA from 1 species
AGUUAGAAAUGACUGCUAAUACCGGAUAAUGUCUUCGGACCAAAGAUUUAUCGCCUUUAGAUGGGCCCGCGUUGGAUUAGCUAGUUGGUAAGGUAAAGGCUUACCAAGGCGACGAUCCAUAGCUGGUCUGAGAGGAUGAUCAGCCACACUGGGACUGAGACACGGCCCAGACUCCUACGGGAGGCAGCAGUGGGGAAUAUUGGACAAUGGGCGAAAGCCUGAUCCAGCAAUGCCGCGUGAGUGAUGAAGGCCUUAGGGUUGUAAAGCUCUUUUACUGGGGAUGAUAAUGACAGUACCCAGAGAAUAAGCUCCGGCUAACUCCGUGCCAGCAGCCGCGGUAAUACGGAGGGAGCUAGCGUUGUUCGGAAUUACUGGGCGUAAAGCGCGCGUAGGCGGCUUUUCAAGUCAGAGGUGAAAUCCCGGGGCUCAACCCCGGAACUGCCUUUGAAACUGGAUGGCUAGAAUAUUGGAGAGGUAAGUGGAAUUCCGAGUGUAGAGGUGAAAUUCG